GGAGGAAGAGCUUGCUCUUCCAAAGUUAGUGGCGGACGGGUGAGUAACACGUGGGCAACCUGCCUGUAAGUUGGGGAUAACUCCGGGAAACCGGGGCUAAUACCGAAUGAUAAAGUGUGGCGCAUGCCACGCUUUUGAAAGAUGGUUUCGGCUAUCGCUUACAGAUGGGCCCGCGGUGCAUUAGCUAGUUGGUAGGGUAAUGGCCUACCAAGGCAACGAUGCAUAGCCGACCUGAGAGGGUGAUCGGCCACACUGGGACUGAGACACGGCCCAGACUCCUACGGGAGGCAGCAGUAGGGAAUCUUCCGCAAUGGACGAAAGUCUGACGGAGCAACGCCGCGUGUAUGAAGAAGGUUUUCGGAUCGUAAAGUACUGUUGUUAGAGAAGAACAAGGAUAAGAGUAACUGCUUGUCCCUUGACGGUAUCUAACCAGAAAGCCACGGCUAACUACGUGCCAGCAGCCGCGGUAAUACGUAGGUGGCAAGCGUUGUCCGGAUUUAUUGGGCGUAAAGCGCGCGCAGGCGGUCUUUUAAGUCUGAUGUGAAAGCCCCCGGCUUAACCGGGGAGGGUCAUUGGAAACUGGAAGACUGGAGUGCAGAAGAGGAGAG
rnacentral:rRNA from 1 species